rnacentral:lncRNA from 1 species
UAUAAGUAUGUUACACACUAAUAAUUUUAAGAGAAAAAGAUUACGAAGCAUGCAUAAUCUCAUCUGUUCAUUUAUUUAUUUGGUUUCCUUUAUAGGGUAACUCAAAGUGGAUUUUGAAGAGGAAAAGAAAAAAAAAGCUAUAAUUUUACACUUUGACGAAAGAAAAUUAGUUGUAUACAUUGUAUUAUGCUUAUUGAAAGAACUUAUAUUCUCAUUCACUCUCAUGUGAGACAGAAUUCGAAUCCAAACAUAGUUUUGAAGAUUGUUGGAUGAUAUCUUGGACUAACAAAGUCAUAUUAAUGUAAGAAGAGCCCCCCACUUCAACAGCUUUUUUUUGCCUUCUCACCAAACUCUUUAGCACGCUUCCUUCUCUCUAUUCCUUCAUUUCUGUUGCGCGGAAGCGUGUGAAAGAGUAAAAAUAUUGUACUGAAAAAUCACACUAAGUUCAAUUCCCAGGAAAGAGAGGUAGAUCAUGAAGAUCACUUAAAUACCAAGUCUUUCCUAGCCAGAAUAUCCCUCUAUCGUAAUUUAAUAGCACAAUAAAUCACUACAAUCACAUUCACAAAAUAUGCAAAAUAAAUAAUAAAGAACACCAGAAUUUUAACGAGGUUCAGCAAAUUUUGCCUACGUCCUCGGGCACUACCAAAUAUAUUUCACUCAAAAAAUUACAAGUGAAUUUUACAAAUAGGGAGAGAGAAUAAUGCCUUAAGUAGAGAAUGGAAAUUAUGGGAUGAAGAAAGUAAGAAAUGGUUAGGCCUAUUUAUAGUUGAGGUUCAAGGAUCAACUCGUAAUGUCCCUAUACAAUUAGGGACCAAAAUUGCAAUUAUCCCAUGAUAACUUUUAACCCAACUUGCCAACCAAUCUUACUUUCUACUUUCGGUGCCCACCCUUUUUGACUUUUCAAACAAUGGGUGGGUUCCAAUAAUCUCCACCUUGAAGAUUUGAUUAGGAUAAUCUUAUCUUCACACAAUUCUUUCUGCCUUUGACAAUAAUACUUGAUAGUGCCUUCUUCAAUUGUUAAACUUGCAGGAUACUAAUCAAGUUCAAACAAUGUUCAAACUUGGUUAUUAUUACCACCUUGGUCAUCAUAUCUGCGGGAUUAUCUGCAGUCUUGAUCUUCUGAAGACAAAUUUUCCCCUCAUCAAUAAUUUCCUGCACAAAGUGGAAACGUACGUCAAUAUGCUUUGUACGUGCAUGAUAAACUUGAUUCUUUGCUAAAUGAAUAGCACUUUGACUAUCACAAUACACGUUAAUAUGCUCCUGGACCAAUCCCAAGGUUUUAGUCAUACCUUGUAACCAAAUAGCCUCCUUUACAGCCUCUAUUACAGCCAUGUACUCGGCUUCUGUGGUUGACAACGCAACUGUAGACUGUAGUGUAGACUUCCAACUUAUUGGUCCUCCAGCAAGUGUAAACACAUAACCGGUGGUUGAUCUUUGCUUGUCCAAAUCACCGGCAUAGUCAGAAUCAACGUACCUAAUAACACCUUUACCAAGUGUAUUAUCCUGCUUGAACAGUAAUCCAACAUCCACGGUCUUCUGAAUAUACCGUAGAAUCCAUUUCACAGCUUGCCAAUGUCCUUUUCCAGGAUUAUGCAUAUACCUGCUCACUAUACUAACUGCCUGUGAAAUGUCGGGUCUUGUACACACCAUUACAUACAUCAAGCUACCCACUGCAUUAGAAUACAAAACUUGCAACAUGUAUUCUCGUUCUGUAUUCGUCGAAGGAGAUAGUUAUGCAGAAAGCUUGAAAUGAGAAGCCAACGGGGUACUUACAGGUUUUGUCUGUUCUUUCAUGCCAAACUGCUGUAGUACCUUUUUCAAAUACUGCUUCUGAGACAAGCUAACUCUAUCAUGAGCUCUAUCUCUCUAUAUUUCCAUGCCGAGAAUCUUUUUAGCUUCUCCUAGAUCUUUCAUCUCAAAUUCGAGAUUAAGUUGAGUCUUCAAUCUUUCAAUCUCAAUUUUGCUCUUAGAUGCCAUUAGCAUAUCAUCAACAUAUAAGAGUAAGUAUAUGAAAGUUCCUUCUUGUAGCUUCUGAAAAUACACGCAAUGAUCAAAUUUACUUCUUGUGUACCUUUGCCCUUUCAUGAACUGAUCAAAUCGCUUGUACUAUUGCCUCGGAGAUUGCUUCAAUCCAUAAAGCGACUUUGUCAGUUUGCAAACCCAAUUUCUUUUCCAGCAACAUUGAAUCCAUCUGGUUGAGUCAUAUAGAUUUCCUUUUCCAAAUUACCGUGUAAAAGCGCAGUCUUCACAUCAAGUUGAACUAGUUCGAGAUCAUAUUACGCAACCAAGGCUAGCAAAAUCCGUAUAGAUGAAUGCUUCACAACUAGAGAAAACACUUCAUUAUAGUCUAUUCCUUCUUUCUGAGCGGAGCCCUUUGCUACCAAUCUAGCCUUGUAUCGAAUUUCAUUUUUACCAGAAAAUCCUUCCUUCUUUGCAUAUACCCAUUUGCAUCCAAUUGCCUUCUUUCCCUUGGGUAGUGUCACCAACUCCCAGGUCCUAUUUUUAUGAAGAGACUGCAUUUCUUCAUUCAUUGCUUGCUUCCACUUUACACCAUCAGGGUUACUUAUUGCUUCUGUGUAAGUAGAAGGAAUAUCAUCAUCUGCAAUUGGAAGUGCAUAGGCCACUAUAUCAUCAAAGCGAGCAGGCUUACGAAUCUCUCUUCUUGGCCUCCUAUAUGCAAUUGAAUCUUGUUGCUGUAGAGGUUCUUGGGUAGGAACCUCUUCAUCAUUUGUCCCUUCAAUAUUAGCUGGAUCAUCGUUAACCUUUUCAAGCUCCACCUGCUGCAAAGUACUACUGGUUUUGUCAUCCUUUUGUGAAUCCUUGUACUUUAACAUGGUUGAUUCAUCAAAAGUCACAUCUCUACUGAAAUCAAUCUUCCUUGUAUCAGGACACCAGAGAUAAUAUCCUUUUACUCCAUCAGUUAUACCCAAGAAUAAUGCUUUCUUUGCUCUUGGGUCUAACUUAGAUUCUUUUACAUGAUAAUAUGCAGUGGAACCAAAUACAUGUAAAGAAUCAUAAUCAGUAGCAGAUUUACCAGUCCACAUCUCCAUAGGAGUUUUUCUAUUUAUUGUAGCUGAUGGCAAACGGUUAAUUAGAUGGCACGCAUAUGUAACUGCCUCAGCCCAAAAUUCCUUGCCCAAUCCAGCAUUGGACAACAUACAUCGAACUUUCUCCAGUAUAGUUCGAUUCAUGCGUUCUGCCACCCCAUUCUGCUGUGGUGUAUCCCGAAUAGUGAAGUGUCGCACAAUGCCCUCAUCUUGACAUACUUGUAGAAAUGGAUCAUUUUUGUACUCAGUGCCAUUAUCUGAUCGAAGUCGUUUGACCUUUCGACCAGUCUGAGUCUCCACCAUCUUUUUCCAUUUCAGAAAUGCAUCCAAAACUUCACUUUUUCUUUUCAUUAGAUACACCCAUACUUUUCUUGAAUAAUCAUCAACAAAAGUAACAAAAUAGUGCACACCUCCCAAAGAAGCCACUUUGGUAGGUCCCCACACAUCAUUGUGAGCGUAGUCCAGAAUUCCUUUCGUAUUGUGAAUUGCUGGACCAAAUUUUACCCUCGUCUGUUUGCCCAGAACACCAUGUUCACAGAUUCCAAUUUGCAAGAAUUUGCACCUUUCAACAAGCCUUGCUUCGCCAAAGUCUGCAAAGCUUUUUCACCAGCAUGUCCCAAUCGCAUAUGCCAUAAUCUGGUAGCCUCUGAAUCUACAUCUUUUGUAGAAACUGUUGAUGUUGAUCCAAUAACUGUACUUCUAUUUAAAAAGUACAAGUUAUUUCUUCUUGAACCUUUCAUCACCGUCAAUUGCCCAGCUACUACUUUUAGUAAUCCAUCUCUCAAAGUGAUUGUGAGCCCUUUAGAUUCUAGGGCCCCUAAUGAGAUGAGAUUUUUCUUCAGGCUAGGUACGUAGCGAACAUCUGUCAAGACUUGGAUUGAGCCGUCGUGAUUCUUCAAUUGGACUGUACCCACUCCCAUUGUCUUACAAGCACUAUCAUUGCUCAUAAGAACAAUUCCACCUUCUAGCUCUUUAAGACUAGAAAACCAGUCCUUAUUAGGACACAUAUGGUAAGUACAUCCUGAAUCCAAAAUCCACUCAUCUAUUUGACAUGCCAUUGCCAUGCCAACCAAGCUAAAGUCUGACUCCUCAUCAUGCUCCGCUACACAUGCAUUAGAAAUAGCCUUGCCCUUUUGUAGCUUAGGACAAUUCUUUUUCCAAUGCCCUUUUUCACGGCAAAAGGCACAUUCAUCUUUGGCGGGUCUCCCUUUGGAUUUUCCCCUUCUACUAGAUUUACUACUGUGUGAGCGACCUCUUACUGUUAAGACUUCUGCAGUUGUAUCUCUGUGAUCUCUUUUAUCUUUCUUUCGAGUCUCAGAUCUAUACAACGCACUACAGACUGCAUCAAAUGUGUUCGUGUCCUUCCCAUGAAGCAAUGUGGUGGUAAGAUGAUCAUAUUCAUCAGGAAGGGAAUUCAACAACAAUAAUGCCUUGUCUUCAUCUUCAAAUUUCUCAUCCAAAUUUAGCAAGUCGGCUAAAAUUUUAUUGAAUGAGUUCACAUGGUCAUUCAUCGACAUACCAGGUGCAUACGUGAAUCGAUAAAGUUUCUUUUUCAUAUAAAGCCUAUUUUCAAGACUUUUCGUUAGAAACUUUUCUUCCAGUGUAUCCCAUAACUUCUUCGCCGAUGUCUCCCUCAUGAUAGAGUACUUCUGCUCUUUGGCCAAACAUAAGCGGAUUGUACCACACGCUUGUCUAUUGAUCUUGGCCCACUUCUUGUCAUCCAUCUUGUCAGGUUUUUAUGCAAGGGCUAUAUCUAGCUCUUGCUUACAUAAGACAUCCAGGAUCUCACAUUGGCACAUACCAAAAUUAUUGGUACCAUCAAAUUUCUCUACUUCAAAUUUUUCAUUUGUCACAGUAGUCCUUGCUGAUGACGAUGCUGCUGCCAUUUUUCUCCUCAAUCCCAACUACUGUAUACGUGAACAGUACUAUAUACGUAAAUAGUACUGUAUACAUGACUAGUGCCGUAUACGUGAAUAGUGUCGUAAAUGGUCGUAUUCUCCAAGUACGAAUUUGGCUCUGAUACCAAUUGUUGCGCUGAAGCGUGUGAAAGAGUAAGAAUAUUGUACUGAAAAAUCACACUAAGUUCAAUUCCCAGAAAAGAGAGGUAGAUCACGAAGAUCACUUAAAUACCAAGUCUUUCCUAGCCAUAAUAUCCCUCUAUCGUAAUUUAAUAGCACAAUAAAUCACUACAAUCACAUUUACAAAAUAUGCAAAAUAAAUAAUAAAGAACACCAGAAUUUUAACGAGGUUCAGCAAAUUUUGCCUACGUCCUCGGGCACUACCAAAUAUAUUUCACUCCAAAAAUUACAAGUGAA